AAUUCAUCUAGUGUAGGUGUAAAAGUGGAAGGAUCAAGCACCCAAGGGAAACAAGAAUACAAGACCGAGUUAAAUCAUCAUCCUAAAUAUGAGGUCAAGGCGAUGGACGAAUACACACGUGCUCUUUUGGUUUAUCCAGUUAGGUCAUGUACAUAUUCCAAAUGUAAAUAGUUUUAAAACUUUUGUUGGUAUAAUGUUAUUUAACUUUGUUAACUUUUGGGUUGUUUGAAGAUGGAUAAACAUGUAAGUAGUAAACCUUCUUAUGUUUGGAUCUUAUGAAGUCGUUUUGGGAAGUGUUCAACCAGGUGUUUAUGAAAGGUGAUGUUCCGGUGAAGAUGAAGGUGCUCCGGUGAAGAUGAAGGUGCUCUGGUGAAGAAGCAGGUGUUUCGGUGAUGCUCCGGUGAAGACGAAUGUGUUUCGGUGAAGAUGAAGGUGUAGGAAUCCGUUCGUGUAAAAUAAAUAAAAUCUUUUAUUAACUUGAAAUACUAGAAUAAUAACAGAAUUACAACUGAAAA